rnacentral:lncRNA from 1 species
AUGAUUGUGGCUUACUUGGUGAUCUUCUUUAACUUCUUAAUAUUUGCGGAGGACCCAGUUUCUCAUAGCCAAACAGAAGCCAAUGUUAUUGUUGUUGGAAACUGUUUUUCAUUUGUUACAAAUAAAUACCCUAGAGGAGUUGGCUGGAGGAUUUUGAAGGUGCUUCUAUGGCUGCUUGCCAUUCUCACAGGACUAAUAGCUGGCAAAUUUCUGUUCCAUCAGCGUUUGUUUGGUCAGUUGCUCCGAUUAAAAAUGUUUCGAGAAGAUCAUGGGUCGUGGAUGACAAUGUUCUUCAGCACAAUUCUCUUUCUUUUCAUAUUUUCUCACAUAUACAACACGAUUCUUCUAAUGGAUGGGAACAUGGGGUCACUGAUAUGAUGCUUCAGGACAAACCCUAUCCUGACUGGGGAAAAUCAGCAAGAGCUUUCUGGAAGAAAGGAAAUGUUAGGAUCACUUUAUUCUGGACAGUUCUUUUUACUCUGACGUCUGUGGUUGUACUUGUGAUUACAACGGACUGGAUCAGCUGGGACAAGCUGAAUCGGGGAUUUUUGCCCAGUGAUGAAGUUUCCAGAGCAUUCCUUGCUUCUUUUAUCUUGGUCUUUGACCUUCUUAUUGUGAU